rnacentral:rRNA from 1 species
UGAGGAAUAUUGCGCAAUGGACGGAAGUCUGACGCAGCAACGCCGCGUGGGUGAAGAAGGUUUUCGGAUCGUAAAGCCCUUUUCUGGGUGACGAGGAAGGACGGUAACCCAGGAAAAAGUGUCGGCUAACUACGUGCCAGCAGCCGCGGUAAAACGUAGGACGCAAGCGUUAUCCGGAAUUACUGGGCGUAAAGCGCGUGCAGGCGGGGCACUAAGUCAUGUGUGAAAGCUCCCGGCUAAACUGGGAGAGCGCGGAUGAGACUGGUGUUCUGGAGGGUGGUAGAGGUGUGUGGAAUUCCGCGUGUAGUGGUGAAAUGCGUAGAGAUGCGGAGGAACACCAGAGGCGAAGGCGGCACACUGGGCCACACCUGACGCUGAGGCGCGAAAGCAUGGGUAGCGAACGGGAUUAGAUACCCCCGUAGUCC